GGGCUUGACUGGAUUUGACGGCGGGCCGAGAUGGUAUGUAAGCAUGCGGAGCUUCGGUGGCUGGCUCCUAAAUAUCAGUUAUCAACAAAUUAAUUGGCGAAAACAAUUACGCUCUCGCUGCCUAGUCGAAGUAUAGUAGACAGGCUCAAUCCUUUCACAAGGUGAGGGGACGGGACAUCGCUCAAGCACUCUUUUCCCGAAAUAGCUUGACUCAGCGGUGCUAGAUUAGUCGGGGAUAGCCCUGUGGAGGCCUCGCUCCGCGGGCGAAGAUUCAGAGGAUAAGGCGACGGUUGGUGGUCCGGGUCUUGCCGCCGCACGAAAAUCAAAGGCCGGAAUAAGCAUGUAGAAAGCAUAUGGUUUCCCCGUGCGGACGAGGGUUCGAAUCCCUCCAGGUCCACUC
rnacentral:tmRNA from 1 species